GGAUGCGAUCAUACCAGCACUAAAGCACCGGAUCCCAUCAGAACUCUGAAGUUAAGCGUGCUUGGGAGAGAGUAGUACUAGGAUGGGUGACCUCCUGGGAAGUCCUCGUGUUGCAUUCC
rnacentral:rRNA from 1 species